rnacentral:tRNA from 1 species
GAGGGUAGAGCUCAGUAGUAGAGCAGGUGAUUAGCAUGUGCAAAGUCCUGGGGUCAAUCCCCAGUACCUCCA